rnacentral:rRNA from 1 species
UACGUAGGGGGCAAGCGUUGUCCGGAAUCAUUGGGCGUAAAGAGCGCGUAGGCGGCCCUGUAAGUCCGCUGUGAAAGUCAAGGGCUCAACCCUUGAAUGCCGGUGGAUACUGCAGGGCUAGAGUCCGGAAGAGGCGAGUGGAAUCCGGGUGUAGCGGUGGAAUGCGUAGAGAUCCGGAAGGAAGACCGGUGGCGAAGGCGGUC